rnacentral:rRNA from 1 species
UACGUAGGGUGCGAGCGUUGUCCGGAAUUACUGGGCGUAAAGAGCUCGUAGGUGGUUUGUCGCGUUGUUCGUGAAAACUCACAGCUCAACUGUGGGCGUGCGGGCGAUACGGGCAGACUGGAGUACUGCAGGGGAGACUGGAAUUCCUGGUGUAGCGGUGGAAGUGCGCAGAUAUCAGGAGGAACACCGGUGGCGAAGGCGGGUCUCUGGGCAGUAACUGACGCUGAGGAGCGAAAGCGUGGGAGCGAACAGG